rnacentral:rRNA from 1 species
GAACGCUAGCGGGAUGCCUUACACAUGCAAGUCGAACGGCAGCGGGAAAGUAGCUUGCUACUUUUGCCGGCGAGUGGCGAACGGGUGAGUAAUGUAUCGGAACGUGCCCAGUAGCGGGGGAUAACUACGCGAAAGCGUGGCUAAUACCGCAUACGNCCUACGGGGGAAAGGGGGGGAUCUUAGGACCUCUCACUAUUGGAGCGGCCGAUAUCGGAUUAGCUAGUUGGUGGGGUAAAGGCCUACCAAGGCGACGAUCCGUAGCUGGUUUGAGAGGACGACCAGCCACACUGGGACUGAGACACGGCCCAGACUCCUACGGGAGGCAGCAGUGGGGAAUUUUGGACAAUGGGGGAAACCCUGAUCCAGCCAUCCCGCGUGUGCGAUGAAGGCUUCGGGUUGUAAAGCACUUUUGUCAGGGAAGAAAAGGUUUCGGAUAAUACCCGGAACUGAUGACGGUACCUGAAGAAUAAGCACCGGCUAACUACGUGCCAGCAGCCGCGGUAAUACGUAGGGUGCAAGCGUUAAUCGGAAUUACUGGGCGUAAAGCGUGCGCAGGCGGUUCGGAAAGAAAGAUGUGAAAUCCCAGGGCUCAACCUUGGAACUGCAUUNNNAACUACCGA